ACUCCUACGGGAGGCAGCAGUGGGGAAUAUUGCACAAUGGGGGAAACCCUGAUGCAGCCAUGCCGCGUGUGUGAAGAAGGCCUUCGGGUUGUAAAGCACUUUCAGUAGGGAGGAAGGUAGUGUAGUUAACACCUGCACUAUUUGACGUUACCUACAGAAGAAGCACCGGCUAACUCCGUGCCAGCAGCCGCGGUAAUACGGAGGGUGCGAGCGUUAAUCGGAAUUACUGGGCGUAAAGCGCAUGCAGGCGGCCUGUUAAGUCAGAUGUGAAAGCCCGGGGCUUAACCUCGGAAUUGCAUUUUGAAACUGGCAGGCUAGAGUCUUGUAGAGGGGGGUAGAAGUUUCAGGUGUAGCGGUGAAAUGCGUAGAGAUCU
rnacentral:rRNA from 1 species